UGUUCUCAGAGCACACCGUCAGACUUAAUUUGAAUAGGGCAGAAAAGGUGAAUAAUGAUGCUGUUCAAAACAAUACAUUCUGGCCUUCGCAAGGGACAUCUAGAGGAAUAGCACCAAACAUGACUGAAAACAACAGAUAAUAGAUCAAGCAUAGCUCCAUAGACCUCAGCUUCUGCCUGGCUUAUUGUAUAGCCAAGGCUGAAACUUCAAUAGUGGUCCCUGCUCAGAUCACUGGAGGGCUGCUGUGUUGUGUCGGGACACAGCAGGGCGUAGAACGAACCAGCAGAGAGACGGGGGAGCAGAAAACGAGGACAUGAAAAUCAGGCGUCGACACAGGAUGUCAAGGGCAAUCAUCGCCACAGCAAUGUCACCAUGGUGCAUAUUAAGUGAAACGUUGAGCGUGUAAAACUCCCGGAAUUAUGCUCCGCUGUUCCAUCUCACGGCACAUCAAAUGGCAGUUGGUAGUUGAAACACGAUGUACCCUCUCAAGUGCAUUCAUUUUUAGUCAGUUUUAAAUGCGCUGCUGCUGUGCUGAGACAACACCCCCUGUGUGUGUGUGUGUGUGUGUGUGUGUGUGUGUGUGUGUGUGUGUGUGUGUGUGUGUGUGUGUGUGUGUGUGUGUGUGUGUGUGUGUGUGUGUGUGUGUGUGUGUGUGUGUGUGUGUGUGUGUGUGUGCGUGCGUUCAAUUGCAAAAUAAAAAAUAAAGUAGAAUUUCUCUUUAGGAUCACUUAGGUUCUUUAUCACAGGGAGGAGAGAUAGGGGAACAGUGUUGGCCACUGAGUGUUCUUCCUCGGAGAGGUAAGAGGCAAAGUCAUGUAGCAUCCCUUUAAACAGGCUCCAGGGAGGUUACGGUGGAAGAAAUGGCUUGUCUUCACCAGUGAGACAAACAACAAAUGGAUAAUGGGGUUUGGUAGAGGAAGAUAGGGCCCUGCACCCUACGGACAAAUUAGAAAGUAGGCUAUGAUUUUGGACAUUUUCAUGUAAUGUGCAAUUGAAAAUCACUUCAAAUGCAUCUGGUUCUUGUUGCGUUGUUCGCAUUGAGAAGUAUUUUGGGGGGAGAAAUAAGCAGCUGUCUUUUGGUUGGAGAAGUUAAAUUGGCCACAGGUUACAAUACAAAAACUUUGUUUGAAAAAUGCAUUCAUAUCGAAUUGUUAUUCCUUUAGAUGAAACGUUAUCCUCUUCUCAGAACAUAUGUA